CUGGCACUGGCUUGGAAAAUCCUAAAGCAAGAGGCUGUGUGGAGAUUCUCCUGAAGGUGGAUCAAUGGGAGGCUACAGUGGGAAUGUCCUGUACAUCUAGAUUUUGAAGACAAAGAGGUACAAGCUUUCUCGUGGGCUAACUGGACACUGUGUACACAUUCAAAUCCAAAUGAAUUGAGUGUGAAGGACAGUGGAAAAAGAGACAGUGAAUUGAAUGACAGCAGUUGGGAUAUCAGUGCGGAGGGCUUCAAUCGAAGCU
rnacentral:lncRNA from 1 species